CGAAACCAUCGAUCUGAAUGUGCUCAUUGCUACAGGGGAGUGUUUGUUUCUGGGGGUCUCAGCUGAUAGCAGGAGGAAAUUUAUGUGUACCCUAACCUGUGUACUACACCUCAGUGGUAUCUAUCAAUCGAUCCAUUGAUGAAUACAUAGAUAUAGACAUGGAUGCAUUUCUACAAGGAAUAAUCCUCAUUCAUAUGAAGGUAAACAUAGCUUAAUGGUUCAUACCAGUGUCUCCAACUCCAAUCCCUUACCACCUGGGUCUUCCGAGCCGUCUCCCCUCACUUGCCCCUCUCCAACCAUGAGACCACCUGUCUGGGGCUCGCAUGCGCCGGGGAACAGCGAGCUCUGAGCGCCCUGCACUGCUCCCAGAUCACCGACAGGGGGCGCGCGGACACGCCUUUUCUGACUGGCCCGGGGAGCGCAUGCGCACUGCGCCCUGGACCUCGUGGCCGCGUGCACUGGGAGGACCCGGCUUCGUUCACGGCUCCGGACGAGGUGGGGUCGUGUCCACACUUUUCCUGCUUAUUUGUGGGACUGUCUCUUGGUGAGAAUACACAGGAAGACAGGGGGUGACUGAGCUGCAGAGAAUGCAACAACAGGUUUGAGCUUUCCAUGUGUGCGGCAGCCAUCCCCAGCACUAUCUUGUCCAGCAUACUCCUGUGGCCCUUGGCAGGAACGUCCUGGCUGAAUCGAAGUUUCCAUGGUGUUUUAGGAACCAGUGACCUUCAAGGACAUAGCCAUAGACUUCACCCAGGAAGAGUGGGCGCUGCUGGACCCAUCCCAGCGAAAGCUGUACAGAGAUGUGAUGCUGGAGAACAUCAGUCAUCUGGUCUCUGUGGGGUAUGAACUCCGCAAAUCAGAUGUGAUUUCUGAGCUGGAGCAAGGGAAGGAGCUGUGGAGGGAAGAAAAAGGAUUUCCUCAAGGCCUGAGUCCAGGUGAGCUCCAGGCUCCUGUGUUCAUUACCAGGAAGAUCUGACACUGAGAGAGCAGGACCUGGGAAAUGUCAGCCACACAUUUCCUGGAGUGACUUAUAUUUUCAGAAAAGUGGUCGAGGCCACUGGGGCCAUUGCUCUCUUCCUGGGCCUGUUCUUCCUCUUGCCCUCAGAAAAGGAACAGUCCCAUCCCCUUGGAGAUAAAGCUUCACCUGUGUGCUUUGUCCUGUUCACUUCUCUUUGACACUGUUUCUAUUUACCUUACUGAUGACCAAUCUUGAUUGUAUUUUUUAUCUUAUUUCAAUCCUGAAAAUACAUUCUCAUGUUCAUUUUCCUGGCAUGUGUUCUAUUCAGUGAUGUCUUCCUCCUCUUCCCGUCCUUUUCCUGUGUAAGGGGCAGGGUUGGAAACGUAUCCACACAGGCCUGGCACGUGUUCAACAGUUUUCUCCCUCUUAUGCCACACUAGCAAUUUAUAUGUUUUACAUUAUUUUAGACAGGAAAAAUGGCCUUAUAAAAGAAGAAACGACAUCUGUACAAGAUACCUGCAAGAAGGACCCAUCUAAUGCACGUCAGUGGUAAGUUUCAGGGGAAGAAACCCUCCUUCUCCACAUUAAAGACAUGGGACCUGAAAGAUCGUAGAAUGCAGCACAAUCACAUGACCGUAAUUUCACUUGGGAGUAAAUGCUGUCCAGCAGAAGGUUUGGGGCCUUUUAAAUUUAGGGAAAAUAUUAACGUGUGCUCAAACCAAAACCUCAGUUCUUACAAAAGGACAAUUACAUAAACAUGGUGCUUACAUCUAAUGUUUGAAACUAAUGAAAUCUUUAAAAUAAAUCUGAUAGCUCUGCAGUUGAGAUGUUAUGA
rnacentral:lncRNA from 1 species